rnacentral:rRNA from 1 species
AUGGCAGUGAGAGGGAAGAAAACGACGAUGAAGAAGACGAGGACGGUUACGGUGAUGAUGUUGGGGGAUCCAAUGGAGGCAGCGGCAGCAGCGAUGAUGAUGAUGAUGAUGACAACGCCCCUGAAAGACAAGGAUUUGCCGAAGUCAAAGAAAAAUGACGAAGCAGAGUCUCAGGGCAGCAUUGAUAUGUUCAAGCUCUACAACUUGAAGCCAGCUUUGCCAACCACCUUUCCUGUGCCAGAUUUUAGUGACCAAGAUAUGUGUGAGAAGAUCAACUUUGCCAUUGACAAGAGCCUGUUCUUAUAA